rnacentral:rRNA from 1 species
UACAGAGGGGGCAAGCGUUGUUCGGAAUUACUGGGCAUAAAGGGCGCGUAGGCGGCCUGCUAAGUCGAACGUGAAAUCCCUGGGCUCAACCCAGGAACUGCGUCCGAUACUGGUUGGCUUGAAUCCGGGAGAGGGAUGCGGAAUUCCUGGUGUAGCGGUGAAAUGCGCAGAUAUCAGGAGGAACACCGAUGGCGAAGGCAGGUCUCUGGGCAUUAACUGACGCUGAGGAGCGAAAGCAUGGGGAGCGAACAGG